AUUGAACGCUGGCGGCAGGCCUAACACAUGCAAGUCGAGCGGACGAAGUGAGCUAGUGCCUGUAUUCAGCGGCCGACGGGUGAGUAAUGCCUAGGAAUCUGCCUGGAAGUCGGGGAUAACAUCCGUCAACGGGGCCUAAUACCGCAGACGAUCAGAGUUCGAAAGGGGGGGAUAUUCGAACAUAACCCUAUCAGAUGAGCCUUAGUCGCAGUACCUAGUUGGUGUGGUAAAGGCCUACCAAGGCGACGAUCCGUAACUGGUCUGAGAGGAUGAUCAGUCACCUUGGAACUGGGACACGCUCCAGACUACUACGGGACGCAGCAGUCGGGAAUUUUGGACAGUGGGCGAAAGUCUGAUACAGCCCUGCCGAGUGUGUGAAGAAGGUCUUCGGAUUGUAAAGCACUCUCAGUUGGGAGGAAGGGCGGUAAGUUAAUAUCUUCCCGUUUUGACGUUACCAAGACAAUAAGCACCGGCUAACUUCGUG
rnacentral:rRNA from 1 species